GCCAGUGUGGUGUAGUGGUUUGAGCACUGGACUAUGACUCUGGAUACCAGGGUUCGAAUCCCGGCUCGGCCA